rnacentral:rRNA from 1 species
CAGCAGCCGCGGGAAUACGUAGGGUGCAAGCGUUAAUCGGAAUUACUGGGCGUAAAGCGUGCGCAGGCGGUUAUGUAAGACAGUUGUGAAAUCCCCGGGCUCAACCUGGGAAUUGCAUCUGUGACUGCAUAGCUAGAGUACGGUAGAGGGGGAUGGAAUUCCGCGUGUAGCAGUGAAAUGCGUAGAUAUGCGGAGGAACACCGAUGGCGAAGGCAAUCCCCUGGACCUGUACUGACGCUCAUGCACGAAAGCGUGGGGAGCAAACAGGAUUAGAUACCCCCGUAGUCCCUGUCUCUUAUAC